GAUGAAUGCUGGCGGCGUGCCUAACACAUGCAAGUCGAGCGGCAGCGCGAGGAGUUUACUCCUUGGCGGCGAGCGGCGGACGGCUGAGUAACGCGUGGGAACGUGCCCCAAAGUGAGGAAUAACUGCCCGAAAGGGUGGCUAAUACCGCAUAUGAUCUUCGGAUUAAAGUCUUCGGACGCUUUGGGAGCGGCCCGCGUCGGAUUAGGUUGUUGGUGAGGUAAUGGCUCACCAAGCCGACGAUCCGUAGCUGGUCUGAGAGGAUGAUCAGCCAGACUGGGACUGAGACACGGCCCAGACUCCUACGGGAGGCAGCAGUGAGGAAUCUUCCACAAUGGGCGAAAGCCUGAUGGAGCAACGCCGCGUGAAGGAUGAAGGCCCUCGGGUUGUAAACUUCUUUUAUAAGUGAAGAAUAUGACGGUAACUUAUGAAUAAGCACCGGCUAACUACGUGCCAGCCGCCGCGGUAA
rnacentral:rRNA from 1 species